rnacentral:lncRNA from 1 species
AGCAUUGAAAAGUGGUAAUGACUAAAAGAAAUUAAAUAGAAGGUUGAAGUUGGGUUAGGAGGAGAUGGCAUUAUAAGCUUAUUAACCUUCCACUAAGCAAACUCAAGCAUGUGCUGGAGAAAAGCUAAGUUAGCUAAGUAUGAUAAAUAAUUGAUGACAUCUGAUAUGAGAGUAAGGUUCAGAGAACUUUUAUGAAUUUAUUCUUAGCCUCUUCUCUAUUACCCCCAUCCGUUCCAUUCUUCAUUUCCUCUUUACUUACGAAACUCCAAAGAACACAAAAGUUGUCAAAAUCUUUAGACCUCAACGAAUUUGGCAACGAACUGAAGUUGGUACAUGAAAUUGGAGAAGAUUUGAGGCAAGAGCAGCUUAAAGAAGGAAGUAUAUUCAAUCAAUUUCAUGCUUGAAUCACGAAUUUGGUGGUUUCAUUAAGCAAGUAACGUAAAGCUACUCAUUUAUAUUAUAUGUAAAAAAAUGAAAGAAUAUAUGUGUGAAUAUCAAAGAGAAUAUUCUGUUUGGGUUGUGAAUUGAUAAAAGGGGAUGUUGUGUACUUUGUGUGGAGUGAUAAGGCUGAAAAUUUUGGGCUAGACUCCAUCCAAAUAGCUAUGAACUCUGUUUCUUAAAGUGGUGCACUAAGCGUGUUUGAUAAAAUGCCUCUUAGAUGUUGUCAAGCUUUAAAAGUGAAAAUUUGUUAAUGUUAUGAACAAGAUAGCUUUUGUAUAUCAAAUUUGAACAAUUUUGCUUUAAUAGGAAAUCUGAUGCAUCUGGGCAGUUUCAUGUCUUGCA